GACAUAGGUGGCGAACGUUAUCCGGAAUUAUUGGGCGUAAAGAGCUCGUAGGCGGUGUGUCACGUCGGCCGUGAAAACCUGCAGCUUAACUGUGGGCGUGCGGUCGAUACGGGCAUCACUGGAGUUCGGUAGGGGAGACUGGAAUUCCUGGUGUAGCGGUGAAAUGCGCAGAUAUCAGGAGGAACACCGGUGGCGAAGGCGGGUCUCUGGGCCGAGACGGACGCUGAGGAGCGAAAGCGUGGGGAGCGAACAGG
rnacentral:rRNA from 1 species